rnacentral:tRNA from 1 species
CUAGAAAGUUAAGACUCGAACUUAAACCAGAAAGCCCAAAACUUUCCAUACUACCAAUAUACUACUUUCUA